rnacentral:tRNA from 1 species
UCCCUGGUGGUCCAGUAGUUAGGAUUUGGCACUUUCAUUGCUAAGGGCUUGGGUUCGAUCCCUGGUUGGGGAA